AGCCGCGGCACACCCUGGUGUGCGUCUCUAGAUU
rnacentral:tRNA from 1 species